UGUGUGUGGGUGUGUGUGUGUGUGUUCGUCACUGUGGUCACGUUGCUCCCGGCCGGACGGGCGGGGUUAAAUAGAGGCUGUGUGCCGCAGACCGGCAGAUUAGCCCGGCUCAGCUCAGAACAGUUCGCUUCGCUCCGAACAACCACCGGCUCUUCUGUGUCCCGUAGCUCACGGCCCGGUCCCCGUUUCUGUGAGGAAUGACCAGAGAGCUGACCCAGAACAGGAUCCAGAAGAUCUGGGAGCCCACCAAGGAUGACAGGCCGGCCCCCCGGAGAGCGGCUGGCGCCCCCCACUUUGCCAACCCCCCCACCGUCAUCGUGAUGGUAGGUCUUCCAGCUCGAGGCAAGACGUACAUGUCCAAGAAACUCACCCGCUACCUCAACUGGAUCGGCAUGCCCACCAAAGUCUUCAAUGUGGGAGAGUAUCGCAGAGAGGCAGUGAAGAACUACAGCUCCUACGACUUCUUCAAGCCUGAUAAUGAGUGUGCUGUUAAAAUCCGGCAACAAUGUGCCUUAGCAGCCUUGAGGGACGUCACGUCCUAUUUGAAGGACGAGGGAGGCCAAGUAGCGGUCUUCGACGCCACCAACACGACCCGAGACAGGCGAGAGUUGAUCCUGCAGUUCGGCAGUGAGAACGGCUUCAAGAUCUUUUUCAUCGAGUCAGUGUGCGACGAUCCCAGCGUCAUCGCGUCCAACAUCAUGGAAGUGAAGGUGUCCUGUCCAGACUACCGCGACUGCAACAAGACGGACGCAAUGUUGGAUUUCCAGAGGAGGAUUGAAUGCUACAAAACCAGCUACCAACCUCUGGACCCUGAUCAGUACGACAGGGAUCUCUCCUUCAUCAAGGUGAUAGACGUGGGUCGGCGUUUCCUCGUCAACCGGAUCCAGGACCACAUCCAAAGUAAGAUCGUCUAUUACCUGAUGAACAUCCACGUCCAGCCCCGCACCAUCUACCUGUGUCGGCACGGAGAGAGCACCGACAACCUGCAGGGCCGGCUGGGCGGGGACGCGGGCCUGUCGCCGCGGGGCAAACAGUUUGCCGCCGCCCUGGCUGGGUUUGUUCAGGAGCAGCAGCUGAAGGAUCUGAAGGUUUGGACCAGCCAGCUGUGUUGCAGCAUCCAGACCGCAGAGCACCUGGGAGUCCCGUACGAACAGUGGAAAGCUCUCAACGAGAUAGACGCUGGAAUGUGUGAAGAGAUGACGUAUGACGAGAUGAAGGAGAAAUACCCCGAGGAGUUUGCUUUGAGAGAUGAAGAUAAAUACUACUAUCGCUACCCUGCUGGCGAGUCCUACCAGGACCUGGUGCAGCGGGUGGAGCCGGUCAUCAUGGACCUGGAGAGGCAGGAGAACGUCCUGGUUAUCUGCCACCAGGCCAUCAUGCGCUGCCUGUUGGCCUACUUCCUGGAUAAGAGUGCAGAGGAGAUGCCGUACCUGAAGUGUCCCCUGCACACAGUGCUGAAGCUCACCCCGGUCGCCUACGGCUGCAAAGUGGAGUCCAUGUCUCUGAAUGUGGAGGCGGUGAACACCCACCGAGACCGGCCAGAGGAGGUGAAGAGGGGUCCUGGCACGUUGAUCAGGAGGAACAGCGUGACUCCUCUGACCAGCCCCGAGUCAAACAUCAAGAAACCUCGCAUCGAUGACCUGGACCAGGCUCCCAUCCACGAGCUGCCCCCAACCGGAGCCUCGCUGGCUCUCUGCAGCCCCUCACGCCUCCCUCUCUCCCUCUCACAGCACUGGCUGGGCAAAGUUUGUCUACGAACCGUCCUCCAGUAUCUGAAGGUGGUUUCACUCUUAGUCUUUCAAAGGUAAACACACUCGAGGCUUUGCACUGCUUCAUACUGUCGUUGUGCCAGCAGCCACAUCUGACACUAAUACCUUCAGAUCAACACACUCAGAGGACUGUGGCACAGAGAACUCUUUAUACAAAGAACCUGAGGAGAAGGUCGUUGGGCCUCCGUGACGUCCUGCAGCCAAUGAAGCUGCACUGAUGUGUCCCGCAGCUCAAGAUGAAGGCUCAGUGACACACGUGAAACUACGAGGAAGAGUUCAAGAGUACAGAGAGACACAAGUAACUGUACCUUUUAUCUGACAUGCUCCCUUCACUGCCAUUGUCAGACAUGUUCUAUCUGCGGCUGCAGAACGGCUCCCUAUAAACUUUGUACAGGUUUACUAUUGAGAGACAAAGACCCUCACAUGCAUCGUUCAGCCCAUCCUCUUUCCACUUCUGGUUGUUAGUUAAACUGCAUGUAGUUUACUUUGUAAACUCUUUUCAUAAUGUAUGCAGAAGAUUGGCUCCUUUUUGUAUGUAGAUUAUUUUGCACAUUGGGGAUAAGUUUGUACUUUUGCUUGUUUCUCAUGUCACGCUGUAUUUUCAUGCUGUGGAGGAGGUUUCUGCCGUCGUGCCUGUAGUGCUUGUUCUUCAAGCCUUACGUCGCUUCUCUUGCCGUUUCUCUGGAACAGAGAAGUGGUGACACAUUUCACCUAAUAACUCCUCAUAUCACAUUGUUUCUCAUUGUGUUUAACACUACAGUUUAUGCUGAUCAUUAACAGAGUUCUUGAUUUAAAUAUUUUCUUCUGCCGUCAUUGUCUGCUACGCACAAAUGUAAGCACCUAUAUUUGUGUUAAAAAUAUCUUUGUAAUUGUGUACAUACAGUAUAAAUGGAGAUGCACAGGAGAGUCUUUUAAUGAAGAUUUGUGUAGAAGUAUUUUUGUACUAAUGUUUAGAAAGACGCCGCUGCUCACCUCUCAGUAAAACCUUUGCUAACAUGUUUGCUCGAGAUACCUGAAAUUUGUUUUUUGUAAAAACUGUUUUCUUAUAUUCUUUAUUUAUUUCUGAUGUAGUUUUGGAUGCUUGGAACGAGAGGCACCUUGUUUAAUCUGGGAGCACAGUAUGUUGAACAGUUGAUUUUGCAUCAGUUGGACCAAUAAAAGAACUCCUGGAAACACACA